rnacentral:tmRNA from 1 species
GGGGAUGAUCGGUUUCGACAUUGUCUGCGAGAGUGUGAGAAGCGGGUCGAGGAUGCAGGCUUAUCUCGUAAACGAUGUCUGCAAACUAUAAGUGCCAAUUCAAACAGCACUGUCUCUGCCAAGGCUGACUUCGCCCUCGCGGCGUAAGUUCCUUCGCAACUUAUAGAGACCGUCAGACCGGGAAUGCUCUCUACCCGGAUCCUGGCGUAAUUUAGAGAGAUUGCUUCUGCGUUUCGUCUGAGGGCGCAGAGGGACUUCAACUGAGACUGGGCUCGUCGGUUUAGGUGCCAGUGGCGAAUUCCGGAGCCGAGUAGAACGCUUGUACUGGCUACACCCGUAGAAGGCAUAUGACCACAGCUGUGGACGGGGGUUCAAUUCCCCCCAUCUCCACCA